GGAAAGAUGCCGGAGUGGUCGAACGGGGCGGUCUCGAAAACCGUUAACCCCUUUCGGGGUUCCAGGGUUCGAAUCCCUGUCUUUCCG
rnacentral:tRNA from 1 species